rnacentral:rRNA from 1 species
UCCAGACUCCUACGGGAGGCAGCAGUGGGGAAUAUUGCACAAUGGGGGAAACCCUGAGGCAGCAACGCCGCGUGAGUGAAGAAGUAUCUCGGUAUGUAAAGCUCUAUCAGCAGGGAAGAAGAUGACGGUACCUGAGUAAGAAGCCCCGGCUAACUACGUGCCAGCAGCCGCGGUAAUACGUAUGGUGCAAGCGUUAUCCGGAUUUACUGGGUGUAAAGGGAGCGCAGGCGGCGCGUUAAGCCUGGUGUGAAAGCCCGCGGCCCAACCGCGGGACUGCAUUGGGAACUGGCGCGCUGGAGUGCCGGAGGGGUAGGCGGAAUUCCUAGUGUAGCGGUGAAAUGCGUAGAUAUUAGGAGGAACACCAGUGGCGAAGGCGGCCUGCUGGACGAUGACUGACGCUGAGGCUCGAAAGCGUGGGGAGCAAACAGGAUUAGAUACCCCCGUAU